UUGAACGCUGGCGGCAGGCCUAACACAUGCAAGUCGAGCGGAUGAAGGGAGCUUGCUCCUGGAUUCAGCGGCGGUCGGGUGAGUAAUGCCUAGGAAUCUGCCUGGUAGUGGGGGAUAACGUCCGGAAACGGGCGCUAAUACCGCAUACGUCCUGAGGGAGAAAGUGGGGGGUCUUCGGACCUCACGCUAUCAGAUGAGCCUAGGUCGGAUUAGCUAGUUGGUGGGGUAAAGGCCUACCAAGGCGACGAUCCGUAACUGGUCUGAGAGGAUGAUCAGUCACACUGGAACUGAGACACGGUCCAGACUCCUACGGGAGGCAGCAGUGGGGAAUAUUGGACAAUGGGCGAAAGCCUGAUCCAGCCAUGCCGCGUGUGUGAAGAAGGUCUUCGGAUUGUAAAGCACUUUAAGUUGGGAGGAAGGGCAGUAAGUUAAUACCUUGCUGUUUUGACGUUACCAACAGAAUAAGCACCGGCUAACUUCGUG
rnacentral:rRNA from 1 species